UACAGAGGGUGCGAGCGUUAAUCGGAAUUACUGGGCGUAAAGCGUGCGUAGACGGUUAUUUAAGUCGGGUGUGAAAGCCCCGGGCUCAACCUGGGAAUGGCAUUGGAAACUGGCGACCUAGAGUGCGGUAGAGGGUAGUGGAAUUCCCGGUGUAGCAGUGAAAUGCGUAGAGAUCGGAAAGAACACCAACGGCGAAAGCACUCUGCUGGGCCGACACUGACACUGAGAGACGAAAGCUAGGGGAGCAAAUGGG
rnacentral:rRNA from 1 species